rnacentral:rRNA from 1 species
AUGCUUGGUUGCCUCGUGCUUGGUUGGGUCCCGGUCUCCAUGGGAUCUUUAACCUCCUCCUCUUCUGCCUUCUCCUCAAGUUCUACCUCCUCGGCCACCACCCGGGUCUCGGCCUCCUCUUUCGGCGACCCUACCAUGUACGAGGCGUUCUGGAGGGAGGCUGGGGAGCGGGCGGCGGCGGUGAUCCCCGGGUGGUGGGGGAUGAGCUACUUCUCCAACGCAGGGGGCCUCUGCUGGUACCUGGAGCCUGAGUUGGAGCGCGAGGUGCGCCGCGUCCACCGCCUCGUCGGCAACGCAAUGGCCGACGGCUACCACCUCGUGGUCGGCACUGGCACCACCCAGCUCUUCCAGGCUGCCAUGUACGCCCUAGCCCCCACCAGCACCGACCGGCCCGUCGGCGUCGUCUCUCCGGCGCCCUACUACUCGACGGACCUCCUGCUCUCGGGCUACUACCGGUGGGCGGGGGACGCCAACGCCUUCCACGGCGACCACGGCGGCGAGAACAUCGAGCUGGUCGUCUCGCCCAACAACCCCGACGGCGCCAUCCGCGAGGCCGUCCUAAGCUCCGACUCCGGCAAGGGCAAGGCGAUCCACGACCUGGUGUAUUACUGGCCUCAGUACACGCCCAUCACCAGCCCCGCCGCGCACGACAUCAUGCUCUUCACCAUGUCCAAGCUCAGCGGCCACGGCGGCACCAGGCUCGGGUGGGCGCUGGUCAAGGACAGCGAUGUGGCCAAGAAGAUGGUCUACUUCGUGUAUGGGAGCACCAUCGGCGUGUCCAAGGACUCGCAGCUCCGUGCCGCAAAGAUCCUCGGCGUCGUCUCCGACGCCUACGAACCUGGCCCCGGGGACGGCACGCAGCUCCGCCUCUUCGACUUUGCGCGACGCCGGACGGGGGAGCGCUGGCGGGCCCUGCACGCCGCCGUGGCGGCAACGGGCACCUUCAGCCUCCCAGAUGAGAUCACGGGCUACUGCAACUUCACCAAGCAAACCGUGGCAGCGUACCCCGCCUUCGCGUGGCUGCGCUGUUACAAGGAUGGCGUGGAGGACUGCGCCGAGUUCCUGCGCGGGCACGGCAUCGUGGCGCGGGGCGGGGAGCAGUUCGGAGGAGACGCCAGGUGCGUCAGGGUCAACAUGAUGGACAGGGACGCUGUGUUCAACGUGCUCAUACAGCGUCUCUCCUCCAUAACAUGA